rnacentral:piRNA from 1 species
UGCAUCAUGGUUCAGUUCAGCAUUA